UUUAAAAAUUAAUAUGAUUAUGUGGUAAAUUUUUAUGAAGAAAUAUCAUCAAACUAGAUUUUAACCCGCGGUAUACCGCGGGACGAUUUAUUUUUAAAAGUAAUAUAUAUUAAAACUUGCAAAUUUUAUUUUUACAAAAUAUUUAUAUUUUACAGUUUAUAAUUGUUAUUAAGUAACGCUAUACCACGAAUUCAUGAGACAAUUGUUAAAAAAACUGAAGUUUUGACCCCUAUUAAAACAGCAUAAUUUAUAAU
rnacentral:sRNA from 1 species